rnacentral:snoRNA from 1 species
CCCUUCUCAGAGUAGCACCUGGAGAGUUUCCAGUACUCUACCAGUCUUGACUACAGGAGGGAGAGUCAAGCAGAGGCCCACCCAUUCCAUUCCUAGUUUGGUCAGUGGCUAGCGAGUGGCAGGCAAUCUGCUACAAGU